rnacentral:rRNA from 1 species
CCUACGGGAGGCAGCAGUGAGGAAUAUUGGUCAAUGGCCGGAAGGCUGAACCAGCCAUGCCGCGUGAAGGUCAGUGCCCUAUGGGCGUUAAACUUCUUUUGUGCGGGAGCAAUAAUGGUCACGUGUGGCCAGACGAGAGUACCGUACAAAUAAGCAUCGGCUAACUCCGUGCCAGCAGCCGCGGUAAUACGGGGGAUGCAAGCGUUAUCCGGCUUUAUUGGGUUUAAAGGGUGCGUAGACUGUGAGGUAAGUCAGCGGGGAAAUGCCCGCGCUCAACGGGGUGAAGUGCCAUUGAUACUGCCUUGCUGGAAUGCGGAUGCCGUGGGAGGAAUGUGUGGUGUAGCGGUGAAAUGCAUAGAGAUCACACAGAACACCGAUUGCGAAGGCAUCUCACGAAUCCGCGAUUGACGCUGAUGCACGAAAGCGUGGGUAUCAAACAGGAUUAGAUACCCCUGUAGUC